rnacentral:misc_RNA from 1 species
AAAUGCAAUAAGUAGUGUAAAUUAUAGAAUUUAGUAAAUCAUCAAAUCUUUAAACGCACAUUACGCCCCUUAGUAUUCUAUAGGGCAUACCUAUUCGAGCGUCAUCUACACCCUUAAGCUCUGCUUAGUGUUGGGCGUCUAUCCCGCCUUUGCGCGUGGACUCGCCCUAAAUGCAUUGGCAGCGGUCCUUGCCCCCUCCCGCGCAGCACAUUACGCUUCUCGAGGCUGCGGCGGCCCGCGUCUAAUAAGCUAAACCCCCCUGUCUUUGACCUCGGAUUAGAUAGGGAUACCCGCUAAACUUAAGC